rnacentral:rRNA from 1 species
UACGGGAGGCAGCAGUGGGGAAUUUUGGACAAUGGGGGCAACCCUGAUCCAGCAAUGCCGCGUGUGUGAAGAAGGCCUUCGGGUUGUAAAGCACUUUUGUCCGGAAAGAAAUCCUCUGCCCUAAUACGGCGGGGGGAUGACGGUACCGGAAGAAUAAGCACCGGCUAACUACGUGCCAGCAGCCGCGGUAAUACGUAGGGUGCAAGCGUUAAUCGGAAUUACUGGGCGUAAAGCGUGCGCAGGCGGUGAUGUAAGACCGAUGUGAAAUCCCCGGGCUUAACCUGGGAACUGCAUUUGUGACUGGCGGGCUAGAGUAUGGCAGAGGGGGGUAGAAUUCCACGUGUAGCAGUGAAAUGCGUAGAGAUGUGGAGGAAUACCGAUGGCGAAGGCAGCCCCCUGGGCCAAUACUGACGCUCAUGCACGAAAGCGUGGGGAGCAAACAGGAUUAGAUACCCUGGUAGUCCACGCCCUAAACGAUGUCAACUGGUUGUCGGGCCUUCAUUGGCUUGGUAACGUAGCUAACGCGUGAAGUUGACCGCCUGGGGAGUACGGUCGCAAGAUUAAAACUCAAAGGAAUUGACGGA